rnacentral:rRNA from 1 species
UAGUUGUAUUAUUAGUUAAUGCAAGAUCGACUACGUCGACUAAAGUUCUAGGUAGAAUAAUGAUGAUGACAAUUUUUUACCUAUAUGUCUUGACCAAGUCUCGUGCCAGCAGUCGCGGUAAUACGUGGAAGACUAGUGUUAUUCAUCUUUAUUAGGUUUAAAGGGUACCUAGACGGUAUUUCUAGCCCAAAAUAGGGUACGGAUUUACUAGAGUUUUAUGUGAGGAGGGGAGUACUCGUAGAGUAGAGAUGAAAUUUUGUUAUACUAUGAGGUAACUGGUGGCGGCGAAAGCAACCUUCUAUGUAUAAACUGACGUUGAGGGACGAAGGCUUGGGUAGCAAAUAGGAUUAGAUACCCUAGUAGUCCAAGCAGACAAUUCUGAAUGCCAUAGAUUAGAUUAUUUUUGGUCUAUAAAUGAAAGUGUAAGCAUUCCACCUUAGGAGUAAUGUGGCAACACAGGAACUGAAAUCAUUAGACCGUUUCUGAAACCAGUAGUGAAGUAUGUUAUUUAAAUUGAUGGUCCACAAAAAACCUUACCACAACUUGAAUAUUUUUAAUUAAUACAAGCGUUGCACGGCUGUCUUCAGUUAAUGUCGUGAGAUUUUGGUUAACUCCAUUAAUUAACGUAAACCCUUACUUUAU